rnacentral:rRNA from 1 species
AGAGCGAACGCUGGCGGCAGGCCUAAUACAUGCAAGUCGAACGGAUCCUUCGGGAUUAGUGGCGGACGGGUGAGUAACACGUGGGAACGUGCCCUUUGGUUCGGAACAACUCAGGGAAACUUGAGCUAAUACCGGAUGUGCCCUUCGGGGGAAAGAUUUAUCGCCAUUGGAGCGGCCCGCGUCUGAUUAGCUAGUUGGUGGGGUAAAGGCCUACCAAGGCUACGAUCAGUAGCUGGUCUGAGAGGAUGAUCAGCCACACUGGGACUGAGACACGGCCCAGACUCCUACGGGAGGCAGCAGUAGGGAAUCUUGCGCAAUGGGCGAAAGCCUGACGCAGCCAUGCCGCGUGAAUGAUGAAGGUCUUAGGAUUGUAAAAUUCUUUCAGUGGGGACGAUAAUGACGGUACCACAGAAGACGCCCGGCUAACGUUCGCGCCAGCAGCCGC